rnacentral:rRNA from 1 species
GCUUGUCUCAAAGAUUAAGCCAUGCAUGUCUCAGCAUAAGCUUCAACACGGUGAAACUGCAAAUGGCUCAUUAAAGCAGUUACAAUUUAUUUGAUGGUCACUGUUACAUGGAUAACUGUGGUAAUUCUAGAGCUAAUACAUGCUGUAAAGCCCGACUUCUCGGAAGGGCCGUAUUUAUUAGAUAACAGACCAGCAGCUUCGGCUAUUGUGGUGAAUCAUAGUAACUAAUCGGAUCGCAUGGGCUAGUCCCGCGACAAACCAUUCAAGUUUCUGCCCCAUCAGCUUUCGACGGUAGUGUAUUGGACUACCGUGGCUUUUACGGGUAACGGAGGAUUAGGGUUCGAUUCCGGAGAGGGAGCCUGAGAAACGGCUACCACAUCUAAGGAAGGCAGCAGG